AAAAAAAAAAAAAAAAAUAUUGUAUUAUUUGGCUUUCCCCGAUUAUAUAAAAACUGCUUUAAGUAUCCGAAAAACUUCUUUCUCUGUCAGUGGCUAGAUAUUAGAUGGAACAAAAAUAGUUGUUAUUUUUCGAUUGCAGCAAGAUUUCUGGUAGUAAACUUCGUUUGCAAAAAUUAAAAUUAUUAAACCGAGAUGCCAAGUUUUCGUAGAUAUUAUUUGAUUUUGAUUUUUUGGGUAUUACUCAAUUAUUAGGUAAAUUGUUUUCGCCAAUACACAACCCAG